ACGGAGUGCUUGUAAAGUACCAAGCAACAUUUGAUGAUCUUCUUAGCGACACCAGAGACUAUUACCGUACUUUUGCAAGUCUCGAACGACCGUGAUCUGACGAGAAUCUCGCUGCUAUUUCAAGCACAUCAAACUACCACAUACAGUGUUUCUUGUUGCCGUGAUCAGCUGAUCUGUGCUGUAUCGUUGUUUUAAUGUGUCAGUAAUAAUACUGUAAUUAUUGCAAUUAAUGUCCUUGUUGUUUUUUAGUGAUGUAAUUAUAUAAAAACAUUUUCGAUAAA
rnacentral:misc_RNA from 1 species